rnacentral:tRNA from 1 species
GGGUGGGUAGCUCAGUGGUAGAGUGCAUGCUUAGCAUGCACGAGGUCCUGGGUUCAAUUGCCAGUACUUCUA